rnacentral:rRNA from 1 species
UACGAAGGGGGCUAGCGUUGCUCGGAAUCACUGGGCGUAAAGGGUGCGUAGGCGGGUUUUUAAGUCAGGGGUGAAAUCCUGGAGCUCAACUCCAGAACUGCCUUUGAUACUGAAGAUCUUGAGUUCGGGAGAGGUGAGUGGAACUGCGAGUGUAGAGGUGAAAUUCGUAGAUAUUCGCAAGAACACCAGUGGCGAAGGCGGCUCACUGGCCCGUAACUGACGCUGAGGCACGAAAGCGUGGGGAGCAAACAGG